AAGUGUUGGUGUUCAUGCUUGUCGACGUGCCAACAUUGGUCCCGGGCCACCGCCGCCCCUCUCCACCUACCCACUGUCCUCCGAUUACAACGACUGCCCAACCCCAUCUUCUCUAUUAGCGAAAAUCAUCGUCGUCACUAAGGUUAAAAAACGCAAAAGGGGGGUAAAUAGGGAAUUUGGGGGUCUUCAAAUUGGUAGAAUUCGAUUAUGGGUAUUGGAAUAAUGAUGUUUUAAAGAAAGAAAAGAAAAAAAAUUGAAAUGG
rnacentral:misc_RNA from 1 species